UACGGGGGGGGCAAACGUUGCUCGGAAUCAUUGGGCGUAAAGCGCGCGUAGGCGGCCACUUAUGUCGGAUGUGAAAGCCCUCGGCUUAACCGAGGAAGUGCAUCCGAAACUGGGUGGCUUGAGUACGAAAGAGGGUCGCGGAAUUCCCGGUGUAGAGGUGAAAUUCGUAGAUAUCGGGAGGAACACCGGUGGCGAAGGCGGCGACCUGGGUCGAGACUGACGCUGAGGCGCGAAAGCGUGGGGAGCAAACAGG
rnacentral:rRNA from 1 species